rnacentral:rRNA from 1 species
GUAAGGAAUAUUGGUCAAUGGAGGCAACUCUGAACCAGCCAUGCCGCGUGCAGGAUGAAGGCCCUAUGGGUCGUAAACUGCUUUUAUACCAGAGAAAACCCUCGUACGUGUACGAGGCUGAUAGUAUGGUAAGAAUAAGCAUCGGCUAACUUCGUGCCAGCAGCCGCGGUAAGACGAAGGAUGCAAGCGUUAUCCGGAUUCAUUGGGUUUAAAGGGUGCGUAGGCGGACUUGUAAGUCAGUGGUGAAAUCUCUUUGCUUAACAAAGAAACUGCCAUUGAUACUGCUAGUCUAGAGUAUAGAUGACGUUGGCGGAAUAUGACAUGUAGUGGUGAAAUACUUAGAUAUGUCAUAGAACACCGAUUGCGAAGGCAGCUAACGAAACUAUAACUGACGCUGAGGCACGAAAGUGCGGGGAUCAAACAGGAUUAGAUACCCGAGUAGUCC